CAGCUAAUACACUUGUUUCAAAAGCAAACAAAAGAAAAUCUAAAUUUUCGGUCAACAUUUUUGUGAUAAGUUUGAAUUUAGUUUUAAGCAUAAAGUGAAUUUUGUUAUGUCAAACAGCCUCGUCAUCAUCUAAACAAUUAACGCAAGGCAUGGUAUUUAAAUAGCAAACGUAUAAACAGUCAAGCCACCACAAGAUGUUCAAAACAUUAGAGCCUAAAGAUUGUCAUCAUCUAACUAAAUAGAAAAUACUGCAGUCAAAUAUAUAGUCAAUUGGUCUAUAUUGGUCACUACGAAAAAUAUUACAUGGAUGUUCACAAUCUGGUCAAACAUAAAAAAAAACUGGAAAACAAAGCUUUUCAAAAUUAUUCGUACGCAAAAGAAGCCAAAAUCGCCUGUUUAAACCAAAUGGCAAACAAAUCCAUAAAAUAUCGAUAAAAAUGGAAGUCAAACCACCGAGCUGUGCACCACCACAAUCUACUAACCACUAUAUUGGAUCUUGUCCCUGCUCUUUGUGUCCGGCACUACUAUUGUCUACUUUAUGGCCAUCUAUUUGUGAGGACACUAUCUAACAAAAAUACACUUGCAUAGAAGCAAACUUCCAUCUUUGGUC